AAAGGAAUAGACGGGGGCCCGCACAAGCAGCGGAGCAUGUGGUUUAAUUCGAAGCAACGCGAAGAACCUUACCAGGUCUUGACAUCGAGGCAAAGCCGUAGAGAUACGGUGUUCAGCAAUGAGGCCGAAGACAGGUGGUGCAUGGUUGUCGUCAGCUCGUGUCGUGAGAUGUUGGGUUAAGUCCCGCAACGAGCGCAACCCUUAUUGUCAGUUACUAACGGGUAAAGCCGAGGACUCUGACGAGACUGCCGGGGACAACUCGGAGGAAGGUGGGGACGACGUCAAAUCAUCAUGCCCCUUAUGACCUGGGCUACACACGUGCUACAAUGGUGGUAACAGAGAGGCGCGAGCUCGCAAGGGGGAGCGGAUCUCAAAAAAGCCAUCUCAGUUCGGAUUGUGGGCUGCAACCCGCCCACAUGAAGUUGGAGUUGCUAGUAAUCGCGGAUCAGCAUGCCGCGGUGAAUACGUUCCCGGGCCUUGUACACACCGCCCGU
rnacentral:rRNA from 1 species